UGGCACUGGCCCUGAUAAUAGAUUGUUACUGACACUAAAGUUCUUAAGCCGAGUAAGCAAACCAAUUUGUUCAGGAAUAUGACCUGUUAGACGGUUGUGGUCUAGUUUAAGAAUAUUUAGAGUAGAGCAAUUGGCAAUACUUAAUGGGAUUUCGCCCAAGAAAUUGUUGGAGGAUAGAUCAAGGCUUGUAAGAUAUGGUACUAUUUUCGAGAUGUUAAAUGGAAUUGGUCCCUGAAACUCAUUACUGGAAAGGUCUAAGCCUGUUAAGCUGGUACAAUUCUGAAUCCCCAGAGGGAAUCGACCCCUGAGCCCCAUGUCAGAGAGUCUGAGAUUUAAAACUUUGUUCUCAUCAGGAUGCCAGCAAUCCACUCCAGUAAAUCUACAAAUGUAGCCUUCUGUAUUGUUGUUGAAGUUCCAUGAAGCUUUCAAGUA
rnacentral:misc_RNA from 1 species